GAUGAAGAACGUAGCGAAAUGCGAUAAGUAAUGUGAAUUGCAGAAUUCAGUGAAUCAUCGAAUCUUUGAACGCACAUUGCGCCCCUUGGUAUUCCGAGGGGCAUGCCUGUUCGAGCGUCAUUAUAACCCUCAAGCUCAGCUUGGUGUUGGGGCCUGCUGCACUGGCAGCCCUCAAAAUCAGUGGCGGCGCCAUCUGGCUCUAAGCGUAGUAAUUCUUCUCGCUAUGGAGUCCUGGUGGAUGCUUGCCAUCAACCCCCAAUUUUUCUAUGGUUGACCUCGGAUCAGGUAGGGAUACCCGCUGAACUUAAGCAUAUCAAUAAGCGGAGGA
rnacentral:misc_RNA from 1 species